UCCCUCUCUCUUUCUCAUUGCUCUUUUACUUGGUCUUUCUUGUUGUUUCAAGCUUCUAGUGUUCCUUUUAUAGUCUUCUUACCCUACAAUCAUGAGAACAGAUAAUAAUUCAAGCCGAAAUGUUGGUUUCUUAGCAUCGCCUAUGAUGACAUAAAUAUAAAACCAGCUAGAAAAUGUCACGUGUACUAGUUUGGAGGGCAUUGUUGUCUUUCCACUCCAACCAAAGGCAUAACAAUAAUUCACCUAACAUCACACACUAUAAAU
rnacentral:lncRNA from 1 species